CCUACGGGGGGCAGCAGUAGGGAAUUUUCGUCAAUGGGCGCAAGCCUGAACGAGCAAUGCCGCGUGAACGAGGAAGGUCUUCGGAUCGUAAAGUUCUGUUGAAGGGGAAAAAGAGCGGAGAGAGUAAAUGCUUUCUGAUUGAUAUUACCCUUCGAGGAAGUCACGGCUAACUACGUGCCAGCAGCCGCGGUAAUACGUAGGUGGCGAGCGUUAUCCGGAAUGAUUGGGCGUAAAGGGUGCGUAGGCGGACUGCUAAGUCUGGAGUGAAAGGUACCGGCUCAACCGGUACAGGCUCUGGGAACUGGGGGGAUAGGGGGGAGGAGAGGGAGGGGGAAAUCCAUGUGUAGCGGGAAAA
rnacentral:rRNA from 1 species